rnacentral:rRNA from 2 species
UGCCAGCAGCCCGCGGUAAUAACGUAGGGUGCAAGCGUUAAUCGGAAUUACUGGGCGUAAAAGCGUGCGCAGGCGGUUGUGUAAGACAGGUGUGAAAUCCCCGGGCUUAACCUGGGAAUGGCAUUUGUGACUGCACGGCUAGAGUGUGUCAGAGGGGGGGUAGAAUUCCACGUGUAGCAGUGAAAAUGCGUAGAGAUGUGGAAGGAAUACCGAUGGCGAAGGCAGCCCCCUGGGAUAACACUGACGCUCAUGCACGAAAAGCGUGGGGAGCAAACAGGAUUAGAUACCCUGGUAGUCCACGCCCUAAACGAUGUCUACUAGUUGUCGGGUCUUAAUUGACUUGGUAACGCAGCUAACGCGUGAAGUAGACCGCCUGGGGAGUACGGUCGCAAGAUUAAAACUCAAAGGAAUUGACGGGGACCCGCACAAGCGGUGGAUGAUGUGGAUUAAUUCGAUGCAACGCGAAAAACCUUACCUACCCUUGACAUGUACGGAAUCCUUCAGAGAUGAGGGAGUGCUCGAAAGAGAACCGUAACACAGGUGCUGCAUGGCUGUCGUCAGCUCGUG